UGGGCAUACUCCCCAAAUCCAGGUUCCCAAAAUGCCAGCCAAGGGCCAGCCUUGCAAGCAGGACUUUCUAAGGAUAGCAAUCUCAGGCCUGCUAUGUUAACUCUUUUUGUCAU